GAUGAACGCUGGCGGCGUGCCUAAUACAUGCAAGUCGAGCGAACAGAUGAGGAGCUUGCUCCUCUGACGUUAGCGGCGGACGGGUGAGUAACACGUGGAUAACCUACCUAUAAGACUGGGAUAACUUCGGGAAACCGGAGCUAAUACCGGAUAAUAUAUUGAACCGCAUGGUUCAAUAGUGAAAGACGGUUUUGCUGUCACUUAUAGAUGGAUCCGCGCCGCAUUAGCUAGUUGGUAAGGUAACGGCUUACCAAGGCAACGAUGCGUAGCCGACCUGAGAGGGUGAUCGGCCACACGGGAACUGAGACACGGUCCAGACUCCUACGGGAGGCAGCAGUAGGGAAUCUUCCGCAAUGGGCGAAAGCCUGACGGAGCAACGCCGCGUGAGUGAUGAAGGUCUUCGGAUCGUAAAACUCUGUUAUUAGGUAAGAACAAAUGUGUAAGUAACUAUGCACGUCUUGACGGUACCUAAUCAGAAAGCCACGGCUAACUACGUG
rnacentral:rRNA from 1 species